rnacentral:tRNA from 1 species
AGGACUGUAGUUAAUUAUAACAUUUGGUUUGCAUCCAAAAAGUAUUGUGUACUCAAUCUGUCUUA